CCUACGGGAGGCAGCAGUGAGGAAUAUUGGUCAAUGGACGCAAGUCUGAACCAGCCAAGUAGCGUGCAGGAUGACGGCCCUCCGGGUUGUAAACUGCUUUUAGGUGGGAAUAAAAGGGGGCGCGUGAGCCCCGUAUUGUAUGUACCAUCAGAAAAAGGACCGGCGAAUUCCGUGCAAGCAGCCGCGGGAAUACGGAAGGUCAGGGCGUUAACCGGAUUUAUUGGGUUUAAAGGGAGCGUAGGCCGGCUUUUAAGUCAGCUGUGAAAGUCCGCGGCUCAACCGUGGAAUUGCAGUUGAAACUGGCGGCCUUUAGUGCACACUGUGAUGCCGGAAUU
rnacentral:rRNA from 1 species